rnacentral:pre_miRNA from 1 species
UACCGCUGUCACAUCGGCCAACGGGGAGGCCUAGGCCUCCAGAUCUAGCGACCCUAUCCUUCCCACUAGUGGAACUGGCUAGAUAGA